rnacentral:rRNA from 1 species
CCUACGGGUGGCAGCAGUAGGGAAUCUUCCACAAUGGGCGAAAGCCUGAUGCAGCAACGCCGCGUGGGUGAAGAAGGUCUUCGGAUCGUAAAACCCUGUUGUUAGAGAAGAAAGUGCGUGAGAGUAACUGUUCACGUCUCGACGGAAUCUAACCAGAAAGCCACGGCUAACUACGUGCCAGCAGCCUCGGUAAUACGUAGGUGGCAAGCGUUAUCCGGAUUUAUUGGGCGUAAAGGGAACGCAGGCAGUAUGUUAAGUCUGAUGUGAAAGCCCUCGGCUUAACCGGAGUAGUGCAUGGGAAACUGGGAGACUUGAGUGCAGAAGAGGAGAGUGGAACUCCAUGUGUAGCGGUGAAAUGCGUAGAUAUAUGGAAGAACACCAGUGGCGAAGGCGGCUUACUGGUCUGUAACUGACGCUGAGGUUCGAAAGCGUGGGUAGCAAACAGGAUUAGAUACCCUAGUAGUC